rnacentral:rRNA from 1 species
GAUGAACGCUAGCGGCAGGCCUAACACAUGCAAGUCGAGGGGUAGCAGGAUUAAGCUUGCUUAAUUGCUGACGACCGGCGCACGGGUGCGUAACGCGUAUGCAACCUACCUUAUACUGGGGUAUAGCCCGGAGAAAUUCGGAUUAAUCCCCCAUAGUACUAAUGAAUCGCAUGGUUUAUUAGUUAAAGCAUUGCGGUAUAAGAUGGGCAUGCUUCAUAUUAGCUAGAUGGUGAGGUAACGGCUCACCAUGGCUACGAUAGGUAGGGGGCCUGGGAGGGUGGUCCCCCACACUGGUACUGAGACACGGACCAGACUCCUACGGGAGGCAGCAGUGAGGAAUAUUGGUCAAUGGGCGCAAGCCUGAACCAGCCAUGCCGCGUGCAGGAAGAAUGCCCUAUGGGUUGUAAACUGCUUUUAUUUGGGAAUAAACCUCUUUACGUGUAGAGAGCUGAAGGUACCAAAUGAAUAAGCACCGGCUAACUCCGUGCCAGCCGCCGCCGUAA